UUGGAGUGUUCUGCUUCCUACUGA
rnacentral:miRNA from 1 species